rnacentral:rRNA from 1 species
UAGCUUGCUACCGGACCUAGCGGCGGACGGGUGAGUAAUGCUUAGGAAUCUGCCUAUUAGUGGGGGACAACAUCUCGAAAGGGAUGCUAAUACCGCAUACGUCCUACGGGAGAAAGCAGGGGAUCUUCGGACCUUGCGCUAAUAGAUGAGCCUAAGUCGGAUUAGCUAGUUGGUGGGGUAAAGGCCUACCAAGGCGACGAUCUGUAGCGGGUCUGAGAGGAUGAUCCGCCACACUGGGACUGAGACACGGCCCAGACUCCUACGGGAGGCAGCAGUGGGGAAUAUUGGACAAUGGGGGGAACCCUGAUCCAGCCAUGCCGCGUGUGUGAAGAAGGCCUUAUGGUUGUAAAGCACUUUAAGCGAGGAGGAGGCUACUUUAGUUAAUACCUAGAGAUAGUGGACGUUACUCGCAGAAUAAGCACCGGCUAACUCUGUGCCAGCAGCCGCGGUAAUACAGAGGGUGCGAGCGUUAAUCGGAUUUACUGGGCGUAAAGCGUGCGUAGGCGGCUUAUUAAGUCGGAUGUGAAAUCCCCGAGCUUAACUUGGGAAUUGCAUUCGAUACUGGUGAGCUAGAGUAUGGGAGAGGAUGGUAGAAUUCCAGGUGUAGCGGUGAAAUGCGUAGAGAUCUGGAGGAAUACCGAUGGCGAAGGCAGCCAUCUGGCCUAAUACUGACGCUGAGGUACGAAAGCAUGGGGAGCAAACAGGAUUAGAUACCCUGGUAGUCCAUGCCGUAAACGAUGUCUACUAGCCGUUGGGGCCUUUGAGGCUUUAGUGGCGCAGCUAACGCGAUAAGUAGACCGCCU